ensembl:misc_RNA
CUGAUGGACAUAGGAAAUUAACUUCUGUGUUUAUCUACAGAACUGGUACCACAACAGCCAGUGCCUAGCAGUACAAGACUUCUCACACUGCCAGGCCAAUGGGCCUCAACCCUGACCUGAAGAAAACACUUCUAAGGCCAAGACUGGAAUUCAGGCUCUACAGCCCAUUCAAUUCUUGGCCUCU